rnacentral:rRNA from 1 species
GUCUUUUUGAUUAUAAUUUAAAGUCUAACCUGCCCAAUGAGGAAUUAUUUAAUGGCCGCAGUAUUUUAACUGUGCGAAGGUAGCAUAAUAAUUAGUUUUUUAAUUGAGAACUGGUAUGAAUGGUUGGACGAGAGAAAAACUGUCUCAAUUUAAAUUUAAUUAGAAUUUUAUUUUUAAGUAAAAAAGCUUAAAUAAAUUUAAAAGACGAGAAGACCCUAUAGAGUUUAAUAUUAAAUUAAUAUUUAUUAUAUAAAGUAUUUAAUUAAAUUUAUAUAAAAUUUAGUAUUUAAUUGGGGUGAUUGAAUAAUUGAAUAAACUUAUUUUUUAUUUAGACAUUAAUUUAUGAAUAUAUGAUCCAAUUUUUUUUGAUUAAAAGAUUAAAUUACCUUAGGGAUAACAGCGUAAUUUUUUUUUAAAGUUCUUAUUGAAAGAAAAGUUUGCGACCUCGAUGUUGGAUUUAAAA